AUUGAACGCUGGCGGCAGGCCUAACACAUGCAAGUCGAGCGAGCGGCGGACGGGUGAGUAAUGUCUGGGAAACUGCCUGAUGGAGGGGGAUAACUACUGGAAACGGUAGCUAAUACUGCAUACCAUCAGAUGUGCCCAGAUGGGAUUAGCUAGUAGGUGGGGUAACGGCUCACCUAGGCGACGAUCCCUAGCGGGUCUGAGAGGAUGACCAGCCACACUGGAACGGAGACACGGUCCAGACUCCUACGGGAGGCAGCAGUGGGUAAGAUUGCGCAAUGGGCGCAAGCCUGAGGCAGCCACGCCGCGUGUGUGAAGAAGGCCUUCGGGUUGUAAAGCACUUUCAGCGGGGAGGCGUUACCCGCAGAGGAAGCACCGGCUAACUACGUGCCAGCAGCCGCGGUAAUUC
rnacentral:rRNA from 1 species